UACAGAGGUCUCAAGCGUUGUUCGGAUUCAUUGGGCGUAAAGGGUGCGUAGGCGGCGCGGUAAGUCGGGUGUGAAAUCUCGGGGCUUAACUCCGAAACUGCAUUCGAUACUGCCGUGAUUGAGGACUGGAGAGGAGACUGGAAUUUACGGUGUAGCGGUGAAAUGCGUAGAUAUCGUAAGGAAGACCAGGUGGCGAAGGCGGGUCUC
rnacentral:rRNA from 1 species